UCUGCCAUACCCUGAGACUUU
rnacentral:miRNA from 1 species